GUUGUUGUGGGUUAGUUGAUUAAACUACCUGGCUAAUAAACAGGAGAUCCUUGGUUCAAAUCCCAACAGUGCCU